rnacentral:rRNA from 1 species
GAGCACGUAGGUGGGUUUGUAAGUCAGAUGUGAAAGCCUUCUGUUCAACGGGAGAAUUGCAUCUGAAACUACAGACCUUGAGUAUAGGAGGGGAGAGUGGAACUUCUGGUGGAGCGGCGAAAUGCGUAGAUAUCAGAAGGAACGCCGGCGGCGAAAGCGAUUCUCUGGCCUAUUACUGACACUCAGUGUGCGAAAGCUAGGGGAGCAAACGGGAUUAGAUACCCCGGUAGUCCUAGCCGUAAACGAUGGGCACUAAGUAGAGGGGUUUU